AAGGAGCACUUCUACACAGACCGUUCGAAGAGUCGAAUGUGACUGUGUCAGAGACCGUUUCGGACUCACACGUAGUCCGGCGGACGCUCAUGGGUGGAACACUGACUACUUUCAUCGCACCAUGGUUUCAGCCAAGUCUGGAAUCGCGGUGAAUAUACCGACACACUAUUGGGUCCUGAAAGAACAGACGUUCUUUCCAGGCAAAAAACGACGAGACUGAAUCCUCAGUCAUACCGCCGAGCUUGCUCGGGCUGGUGCUGAAGCACGGAUUUGGACUUGUGUGUUGUUUGAGAACUGCACAGUGGACGCGAGCAUCUUUGUUA
rnacentral:misc_RNA from 1 species